CCUACGGGGGGCUGCAGUGGGGAAUAUUGGACAAUGGGGGCAACCCUGAUCCAGCCAUGCCGCGUGUGUGAAGAAGGCCCUCGGGUUGUAAAGCACUUUCAGUGAGGAAGAACGCCUGGUGGUUAAUACCCAUCAGGAAAGACAUCACUCACAGAAGAAGCACCGGCUAACUCCGUGCCAGCAGCCGCGGUAAUACGGAGGGUGCGAGCGUUAAUCGGAAUUACUGGGCGUAAAGCGCGCGUAGGUGGCUUGAUAAGCCGGUUGUGAAAGCCCCGGGCUCAACCUGGGAACGGCAUCCGGAACUGUCAAGCUAGAGUGCAGGAGAGGAAGGUAGAAUUCCCGGUGUAGAGGUGAAAUGCGUAGAGAUCGGGAGGAAUACCAGUGGCGAAGGCGGCCUUCUGGACUGACACUGACACUGAGGUGCGAAAGCGUGGGUAGCAAACAGGAUUAGAUACCCUUGUAGUC
rnacentral:rRNA from 1 species